rnacentral:rRNA from 2 species
AGCGGCGGACGGGUGAGUAACACGUGGGUAACCUGCCCAUAAGACUGGGAUAACUCCGGGAAACCGGGGCUAAUACCGGAUAACAUUUUGAACCGCAUGGUUCGAAAUUGAAAGGCGGCUUCGGCUGUCACUUAUGGAUGGACCCGCGUCGCAUUAGCUAGUUGGUGAGGUAACGGCUCACCAAGGCAACGAUGCGUAGCCGACCUGAGAGGGUGAUCGGCCACACUGGGACUGAGACACGGCCCAGACUCCUACGGGAGGCAGCAGUAGGGAAUCUUCCGCAAUGGACGAAAGUCUGACGGAGCAACGCCGCGUGAGUGAUGAAGGCUUUCGGGUCGUAAAACUCUGUUGUUAGGGAAGAACAAGUGCUAGUUGAAUAAGCUGGCACCUUGACGGUACCUAACCAGAAAGCCACGGCUAACUACGUGCCAGCAGCCGCGGUAAUACGUAGGUGGCAAGCGUUAUCCGGAAUUAUUGGGCGUAAAGCGCGCGCAGGUGGUUUCUUAAGUCUGAUGUGAAAGCCCACGGCUCAACCGUGGAGGGUCAUUGGAAACUGGGAGACUUGAGUGCAGAA